rnacentral:lncRNA from 1 species
CCUUUUUCACCUUACUUCAAGAGUUCUAGCCCUUAGAACUCAACCAGCCACCAAUCAAUCAGAUCUUCCUCCAAAAUUGAGUCUGAACCUUUCUAAACUAUCCACUAGACUUGACCAUCUUUUUCUAGACCUCUUAAACCCUUAGAGCUAUUAGGAUUAGGCUUAUCUUAAAAGAACAAGUCUUGUCCUAAAAUCUAUAGUUGUAAGAGAGGGAGAGAGGGA